CUUUUUAUGUACUUGAAACCAAGUUAUUUAAUCACUUUGUGUCAUGUCCUGUUGUAUGCAUAUAUGCUUGACUUCACAAAUGACAUCCGACCUUGCAGUUCCAAUGACUUCUAUUGGCCUAUCUCCAACCCGAAUACAAGAGUUUUACGUCACAAAUAGCGACUUCAUUUCAUACCUUGAUAUUUAUCUUGAUUUUAGCGGAAGCG
rnacentral:lncRNA from 1 species